rnacentral:rRNA from 1 species
GAUGAACGCUGGCGGCGUGCCUAAUACAUGCAAGUCGAGCGAACAGACGAGGAGCUUGCUCCUCUGACGUUAGCGGCGGACGGGUGAGUAACACGUGGAUAACCUACCUAUAAGACUGGGAUAACUUCGGGAAACCGGAGCUAAUACCGGAUAAUAUAUUGAACCGCAUGGUUCAAUAGUGAAAGACGGUUUUGCUGUCACUUAUAGAUGGAUCCGCGCCGCAUUAGCUAGUUGGUAAGGUAACGGCUUACCAAGGCAACGAUGCGUAGCCGACCUGAGAGGGUGAUCGGCAACACUGGAACUGAGACACGGUCCAGACUCCUACGGGAGGCAGCAGUAGGGAAUCUUCCGCAAUGGGCGAAAGCGUGACGGAGCAACGCCGCGUGAGUGAUGAAGGUCUUCGGAUCGUAAAACUCUGUUAUUAGGGAAGAACAAAUGUGUAAGUAACUAUGCACGUCUUGACGGUACCUAAUCAGAAAGCCACGGCUAACUACGUG